GAAAAAAAAGAAAAGAAAGAAAUGCAAGGAUUAAUGAGUUCUAGAUACUCAGAGUGGUACAUCAAUAAAUUUAAAGUAUGGAGAUUGAACCCAAGGCCUUUGCACUGAGCUACUAUUCCUCGGUCCAUUUAAAAUUUUUUUAUUUUCUUAUCUCAGUAAGUUGCCCAGGCUGGGCUGUUCUUGGGAUCCUCCUGCCUCAGCUCACCAGAAUGUUGGGACUAUAGCCACUGCACCCAGCUAAAUGCCACUGCACCUAACUAAAUUUAACUUCUUUUGACUGUGAAAUCACAAUAAAGAAAUCAUCUUGACAUUUUUUGAACAUUCAUUACUGUGAACUAGUUCUAAGGGACACAAGAAGUACUGGGUAAGACUAUACUGCCAUUUCAAACAACUGACAUUCAUGAACUUUCUUUUUUUCUGGUACCAGGGAUCGAACUUGCGACCUUGCGCUUGCAAGGCAGGAGGCCCCAGCCCUUUACGAACUUUCUUCAAAAAAACAGAUGGAAGUUUUCUCAGAAGCUUUCAAAUUGACUUCAUUAUGGAAGAACAGCUUGAAGUUAACAGGAAUCUUUUUUUCCUCAUACAAGAGAUUGAAUCUGGGGCUUUGGACAUGCUUGCCAAUUUCUCCUUCCACUUUGGUCCCAAGGUAACCAUGGAUAUGUUUUCUGUCACUAAAGAUAAGUCUGUAUCUUCUAGAAUUCCAUAUAUAUGGAAGUAUACGAAUUCCAUAUAAUGGAAAUACUGUUUUUAUAACACCGAAACACCUGUACUCCCAGCACUUGCGAGGCUGAGGCAAAAGAAUUGAGAAUUGGAGGCUGACUGGGGCUAAACAGUGAGUUUGAGAUAGACUUGGACCAUAUUGCAAGAUCCUGUAAAUGAAACAGUAAUAAAAAGGCUGCAGAUAUAGCUCAAUGUAAAGGCCCACAGUUCAAUCCCUAGCACCACACACAAACACACAAAACAGAACACAACAAACCCCCACAAACUUGAAGUAUAAUACAAAUUCUAAUUUAAAACCUUAGAGAAAAAGAGAAAACCUCCAAAUCUAUCAAAAAGAAAAAGAAAAAGACAAUAAGCUGGAUAAUUAAAACGUUCUUAGAGAAAUAUGAUAGAAAGCUUUCUAUUGGCUCCUUUUUGGUAUUUAUCCUGUUCUUUGUUUCUUUUAAAAUUCUUUGCUGGCCCAGGGGUUUAGUUCAGUGGUGCCACUGCCUGCCUCACAAGCACAAGGUCCUGAGUUUGAUCCCUGGGAACCAAAUAAAAUAAAGUAAAAUAAAAUUCUUUCCUACCCUCUUUUGGAUUAAUUAGGUAUUUAUAAAUUCUACUUUAUCUCCUCUUACUAUCUAUUUUCUGUUUGUUUUCUGGUAGUUGCUCUCUGGUUUACAAUGUGCAUUUUAACUUAACAGAGUCUGUAUUAUUCAAUUAAUUUAUAAAAUGACCAAAUACCAAAUGCAAGGACUAGAAGAAAAAGGUCAAUGUAAGGUACACCACAAAAAUUCAAAGAGAAAUUAUGAAGUCAAAAGAUAUAGAGAAUUAAUCUAGUAGGCUCAACAUCUGCCUAACAGAAAUCUCACAAGAAGAGACAUGCUGGGCAUAGUGGUAAAUGCCUAUUCUCUUCAUUGAGAGAGGCAGAGGCAAAAGGAUCACAAGUUCAAGGUCAGGUAAGGUAACUUAGCAAGAUCAAAAAAUAAAAAAGGUUAGGGAUGUGCUCAGUGGUAUAUCAUCCCUGGGUUCAUUCCCUAGUAAUGAAGAAAAACAAAAGAGAAAGAUACAAGGGGGUAAAGAAAUAACUGUAAAAUACAUGAACAUUAUUGGAUAUAGAAAAGAUCAUAAAAGUUUCUAGAGAGAAAUUGGUUACCUAUAAAGGUAUAAGGCUAUUUCUUCAAUAACAUUGGAUAAUGAGGAAAAUGUACGAAGACCUUCUGAACUGCAAAGGAAGUUAUUUUAAAUUGAUAAUUCUGUAUCUAGCAAGGAAUUAAUUAUGAGAAUUUUUUAUAGUGUGGGAAAA